CAUCUCAUCUACAUGGCAUACUAGUAUCUCCAUACCAUUUGGUUAUGAGGAUAACCAAUGUAUAUGGCAUACAAUGACCUACACUUGAUAUCACUAUCAUCCUAAUAAUAGUAUAUCAUGUGAUCGCGAAUCAAUUUAAGGACUACACGAUAAAUCCUCCUUUAUCGAUCAAAGUAGUCUGAAGAACUUCAUCACAAUAUAGGAGUUCGUUUGAAAAUAUAAUCUUAUGAUUAAAAAUGCCAAAUAACUUUUAUUAUUUAUCAAUUUAUAUUCAUUUAUAAUUAGUACAAUCAUCAAACGAUUGGCUUUAGGACACAAUUCCAAC
rnacentral:lncRNA from 1 species